rnacentral:rRNA from 1 species
UAGUAUUAGUUAUGUUCUUGAAAAUUAAAAAAGUUGGCGGUAUUUUAGUCUAUUUAGAGGAACCUGUCCUAUAAUCGAUAAUCCACGAUUUGAUUAACUUAUUGUUUAAGUUUGUAUAUCGCCGUAGGUUGAACAUUUUUAAAGAAUUAUAAAUGUUCAAUAAGUUUAUAAAAAAAAAAUUCAGGUCAAGAUGUAGCAUAUAAAUAAGUAGAGAUGGGUUACAAUAAAUUUAUUUAUAAUGAAUUAAUAAAUUUAAUUUUAUUAUGAAGGUGGAUUUAAAAGUAAU